rnacentral:lncRNA from 1 species
ACAAUUAAUUCCUCUAUCAUUUCUUUAUAACCUUUUGUCGCAUUAAAAAAAAUUUGCCUAUUCUUUUUGUCUAAUUUUGUGUGUGUGUAAUGUACAGUACAAGUCCAAAAUUAUAUGCAAUUUUCAGAAAAAUUGCAUCUUUACAUCAUACAAAUUUGGCCAAUACACAUCCAUACCCCUAUAGGCAAGUCAAGAGAUGUUCCGAAAAGUGUAAAUAUAACCUUUUUGCACCUGGCCAAAUCACUCUUCCUUAUUAAAAUCAGUUAGAAUAAAACAUCCAAAAGUUUAUUUCAGCUCUCUUCUUUCAUUUCCACCCCAGAAAAGCUAAGAAAUGAAUGAGAAAGGGAAAUAAAAAAAAAAGAAAAAAUACAAUAUAAUUAAAGGGAACUAUAUUCGUGAACAACGAAAAGCGGGG